UGCAAAGUGCAUGUUUUCCCAGCUCGAACUGUUGCUCUCAGCUGAGCUGGAUGACUUUGCUUGCAGUGUAUUAGGAAACUGCAGUGACAGCAGGCCCCUAUAGACACUGCCAUGCAGCCAUAGUACUAUAGUUGGCCCUAGAUAAGGAAAAGAUGCAGACUUGGGAAAAUGAGAAUAGUGGUAUGAAAGCCUCCAUCUGAAAAGAUUCCAGAAUCAGAAACAUACAAGUGUUCUGCAAACACCACUGAAGCUCCACUGCAUGUUUAAUUGCUCGUUUUUUUUUGCUGACUGUACUGUUAUGAACUAUAAGUAUUUGAGAAAUGAUUUAAAAAAUACAGUUUAGGUUUUCUUUGUUGUCCUUAGAGUUUUCAGCCCUGCAUGGAUCUUGUUUCCAAGCAUUGUUCCUGUAUCCAGCAAGGCAACAAGCAAAUUUAGGAAGUGGGAGCCAGCAUUUUCAUGUGAUGGCAUUAUUCCAGGGACUGGUGCUUUAGGAUAAACGGUAAAUAUUGUGAGGCUUGCAAAGCAGUUCCUGAUUCAUUGCUUAUACGCUGCUGAUUUAUUCAUUGUUUGAGAAGCAUAACGCCUCUGCUGUCUCUGCAGUUUACCUCCAGUCACCUCUCCUCGGCAUGAAUGAAAAAAGAAACAUGAUGUUGUUUCCAGCCUCCAAACCUGAUGGUAACAAAUAUUAGAGUACCAGGUACAUAAAUAAACAUCCCACACAAACAAUAUCCUCCUCUGCUCCUUUUCCCAAAUAUCAGGACUGCUAUGAUCAUCUGUAGUGCUGAGAGCUGUUGCAUCUGCUCAUGGGGAUUUGGGAGAAGGUCCUGUGUGCUUGCACAGGCAAGGCUGACACCUAGUGACCAGACGCAUUUAUUCCUGUGGGAAUUCCCUGAAUUCUAGUUCUCUAUUCACUCUUCUCUAAGUCUGGAAGGCUUAAAUUUCGAGAUGAACAGUUAAUUGACUUAAUCAUCACAUUUGGCCUUUUUUUUUCCCAGUGUUUCUAAUGUACGCUUCAAAAGAUGAAGUUAGGGUACCUUGAAAGCUUGUUCAAAACAUGAAGGUUUUGCAUCUGGUCUCCUGGGAGCUGUUUAUUGCAGCUGCUCUGAGCAAACUGUGAGAUGGCAGACAGCAAUCAAAGUUCAGAAUAUGCUCCUUUUGUUUUCCUUAAAAAAUCAUGGCUGACCUUGGUGUUUGGAUUCUCCUUACUCAUCCAGUCUUAAAGAAUCCAAAAUCAGGCAUGAUGGGAUAUUCUCUGAGUUGGAGAAUUUUCUGCUGACCAGGUGUAACAUCUUACAAUGGCACUGACACCUGUUUCAUCAUCAGGAGGUAGCUGGUCUCUUCUUCCAAGUAACAAGGACAAGAGGAAAUGGCCUCAAGGUAUGCCAGGGGAGGUUUAAACUGGAUAUUAGGAAAAAUUUCUUCACCAAAAGGGUGAUAGAACAGGCAUUGGACCAGGCUGCCCAGGGGAGUCGUGGAAUCACCUUCCCUGGAAGUGUUCAAAACCUGUGUAGAUGAGGCCCUUAGUGACAUGGUUUAGUGGCGGACUUGGCAGUUCUGGGAUAAAGGUUGGCCUUGAUCAUCUUAAAGUUUUUUUCUGACCUUGUUGAGUCUAUGAUUCUAUCAUCAUGGCAGAUCCUGCUGGAAAUGAUUUUGAGUGCUGUGCCUUAGCAAACUGUAUAUUAAAAAGGAAGAGAAAAACCUACCUUAAAGACUUCCAGAAUGUUUCUGAUUUUUCUUUGGUUGCCUAGAUUGACAUUUCAAGGGUAUAACAUUUCUGAGAAUUGUAUGUGACCUUUGGCAAAACAGGUAGCCAUAUAAAUUUUGGGAAGCAGCCACCCCCGUGUGAAAGCAGUCUUUCGUCCUUGUAAGAAUAAUCAUUGACUCCCAAAGUAGACUGCAGACAUUUUCAGUGGUUCCUCACCUUACUCAGUUUCACAGGCAAACCUGUACUGAUGCCCUAAAGAAGCCAUCUUGGAGCAGUCCUUGGGACUGGAGGAAUUUUUUGUCUUCUAAAUGACUUUUAUUAUUUAAAUGUUUCUUGAAAUAUUGGAAGUUGGUUGAUUCAGCGUGCUGUUUGCUGCUAGCACUGCGUUUGGCUACACAAAGAGUCAGAGCUCAAUGUUUUUCUGUGGCUGAAAGGAAACUUUGAUUCUUCCUGAAUGAAAUAACUAGGAACUUGCACAAGCCCCGUGUUGUUGAACGGAAAAGGCAGGCUUUUUCUCCUUCAGAUAAUCUUUUCUAUCUGACUCACAAUUUUACAUAUAGCUCUGGGUCUGUAUCUGUGGCAUGUUUCUAAUUAGCCAAUGAAAAAGAUAAAGGUUCUGUAUUUUAAAAUCCACUGAUUUUUCAUCUGCUAAUUGUGUGUGAUAGGAUGUGCCUCUGGAGAGAGGGAUAACAAAUUCCCGAGGCAAAGAUCUCCAUCAAAGGCAGCAUAUUCUGGUCUCUGAGCAACAUGGGCUUUCACUAUGGCCAUCAUCUUUCCAUAAGUCUGGGAUUCAGGUGCUCUGAUGUUGUGUACACAAAACUCUUAGUCUACAUUAUCAUGGCCUGUUUUUUUUCCCAACAUUACAGCUUUUCACAGUUUGUCCCAGGGCUGCAAAGGGCAAACCAGUUCGGACCCACCGGCCCAUUCCUGAUGCCUGGGAAUGAGGGUAGCAAAACCGUCCAAAUGCACACAUAAAGCUUUCAGUGCGGUGCAGCAAGUGUCUCAGUACUGUUGCCUGGUAGUAUUUACCUGAAGAGAAGGCUGCAUUUUCUCACUUGUGUUCGCAGCCAUCCUUGGUGUCUCUCCAGACGUAGCUUACAAUGCAGGUUAAAGGAUUGUUCAUUUGCAUAGUCAGUUUGAAUAGUUAUUUUAGAAGUUCACAAAACCUGACUUCUAAACAAUUCUAUUUGCACUGAAAAGCUAAUAAGCGUUUAUGAAGUGGCUUUACAGAACAGGUAAAUGUGACUUUGACCAGGUUUAAGUAAUAAAGAGACUUCAAAUUCUUCAGUUUGAAGGCUAAAUAUUGGGAGCCCUGAAGGCUUGAAUGUGAUCUUUGCUUUUAUAAGGAAUGCAGUAUAUAAUGAUUCACCUUCUUUUUCUUUUUUUUUUUUUUUUUUUUUUAGGUAAUGGGAGCUUUGUUAAUCGGUCAGACUACAUCAAUUGUUUUCAUUAUUUCAGACCACAAGUGCAGAAUUCCUGCCUUUGUUCAAAGCGGCAUUGUGGGGAAAAAUAAAGCUCUCCAGUACCAAA